CCUGAAUGAAGUGGGGAGUGCCUGGCCCUGCUAAUCCUUCCAUCUCAUCUAUGUCUCUUUCUUCCUUUUUAGUGAAUGAGAUUGGAGAUGGAUAUGAUCUUGUGAACUGUAUAAGGUCAGGAGGGCAUCAGUUGGACUUUCAGUCUCCAGUUAUUUCCCUCCCCAGCCAUUCAAUCCCAUCUCAGAGAUGACAGGGUCCAGCCCAAGCAGAUUGAAUCUGGUUGUCUCAGUCUUUAGGAGAAAUCAUCCAAAUCAAAGUGGCAAGCAAUGAAAUCUCUUCCUAACAAAUGACAAAGAGUUCCAAAAAUGUGCUCCAGAAGGGGUUUUGGCA